rnacentral:misc_RNA from 1 species
ACAAUCGACGUGUGUAGUUGAAACAAGAAAAUCCGGUAGCAGAGUGAUAUUGUUGCGUUAAGUGGCUACAGGUCUUCAGACUAUGUAACUAUGGAAAUAUACUAAGUUGUUUGGACUCUCCAAACAUGUUGUCAUACCGUGUCAGAUACUCCACAAAUGCACUACUUUUGGAGGAUCCCACACGCUCCCGUCGACGUUUUUGAUGUUGGCAUAAAAUAAACAAAUAGGAACUUCCCCAUUCCAUUUGUCCUCUUAGAAGGAUGUCUUAAAACCACUCCCACUUGUACCCUAGUUCUAUAAUAUAGCACUGGCCAUAAAUUUCUGAUUUCCCUCCAAACAGUGCAUUUGUACGGAGUACGUACCAUUUUAGUCAUCCACGUAUCUUCUAUACCAUAUUUUGCUGUGAUGACCUCUUUCCAGAGCAUGUGUUCUUCAUUAAGUAACUUCCGCAACCACUUCAUCAUUAGGCUGUGAUUUUGGUUCCUCUGGUUUUUUAUGCCUAGACCUCCUGUAUUCUUACUCACUAUCAGUUCCUCCCAUUUAACUAGAUGGAACUUCUUCUUAUCUUCACUGCCUUGCUAUAGGAAAUUUCUUUAAAGGGCAUCAAUGCUCUUAGAUACAUUGGCAAGCAUAGAAAAGAUAUACAUCAAAUAAGAGGGUAAUGCAUUAAUCACACUGUUGAUUAAAGUCAAUCUUCCUCCCCAGGACAAGUACUG